rnacentral:rRNA from 1 species
GACGAACGCUGGCGGCGUGCUUAACACAUGCAAGUCGAACGGAAAGGCCCUGCUUUUGUGGGGUGCUCGAGUGGCGAACGGGUGAGUAACACGUGAGUAACCUGCCCUUGACUUUGGGAUAACUUCAGGAAACUGGGGCUAAUACCGGAUAGGAGCUCCUGCUGCAUGGUGGGGGUUGGAAAGUUUCGGCGGGUGGGGAUGGACUCGCGGCUUAUCAGCUUGUUGGUGGGGGAGUGGCUUACCAAGGCAUUGGAGGGUAGCCGGCCUGAGAGGGUGACCGGCCACAUUGGGACUGAGAUACGGCCCAGACUCCUACGGGGGGCAACAGUGGGGAAUAUUGCACAAUGGGCGGAAGCCUGAUGCAGCAACGCCGCGUGCGGGAUGACGGCCUUCGGGUUGUAAACCGCUUUCGCCUGUGACGAAGCGUGAGUGACGGUAAUGGGUAAAGAAGCACCGGCUAACUACGUG